AAAAUGUACAUAUGCACAUAGAGAAAUUUUUGCAUGCAACUUAGGAUGUUCGUGGACCCUCUGAAGAUCUUCGUAGACUUCCAUUCCAUAGGUUCCCAGAUUAAGGAAUUUCUAAAAAGCUUUCUUAGUUGAAAGCUGCUUUGACUCAAGAAGGAAGAAGAUGAAGGAAAGCCUCUGUUCUAUCUAUAUUCCUAUGCCUUCAGGUUCUCUCAGUAUCUUCAUAUCUGGUUGGUUUUCAAGAACCGCCUUUUCAUGGCCCUCUGAAAAUAGAUUUCAUUUGCACAAUAAAGGUGUGUGUGAUGAAGCUUUGCUCUUGGACAAACCCAGGCUACCUAUUGGCUUUGUGUUCAGAAGAUCAUUUACUAAGACAAGUUUGUUUCUCUGCAGAGUAUGUCUUUGCAUGCUUUUGUGCUGAAGAUGACUCCAAGUUUCAUAGGAACAGGCUGACAUAAGGAGCUCAUGGUCUGGAAGCCAUCCUCAGGACCCCAGGGACCCAGUGGGGCCUAGAUCAAUAAUAGAGAAAAGGCAAGAGAAUGCUGAGAGCCAGGUAUGGGGCAAGAAGAAAAGAAGCAUAGGGAAAUGAAGAAGGAAGGAAGGAGAACUUGUGUGAAAACCCCAAAGGGAGGACCACCACAAACUAGAUCUAGCUGGGAUCUGUUGACAAUCUGAGCUUUUAUUGCUAGCUUGGAAGGUGUCGUGCCCCUGAGAAGGAAUGCAAGGGAGUGGGCCGAGAGCAACGCCACUUUCUGGAGUCCAGAAUGUUAAAGCAGCAGAUCCUAACACAUCUCAUGAAGACAGUGGAAAUAGCAGGGAAGGUGACCAGCCUUGCCUUCUUUUGGUUUCACAAAGAGUGAUCUCCAAGCUUAUGUAUAGCCCACGGCAUUGACACCCCAUGAGAAACACUGUUGAGGGUGAGUAAGAACUGCUCAGAAAGUGGGCAGUUUCUAUCUUCUCUGACAUUUGCUGAUAAGUCUCAAAUCU
rnacentral:lncRNA from 10 species